rnacentral:rRNA from 1 species
UGCGUAGGCGGGCUAAUAAGUCAGUGGUGAAAUCUUCCGGCUCAACCGGGAACCUGCCAUUGAUACUGUUAGUCUUGAGUUCGGUUGAGGUAGGCGGAAUGUGUAAUGUAGCGGUGAAAUGCUUAGAUAUUACACAGAACACCAAUUGCGUAGGCAGCUUACUAGACCGACACUGACGCUGAGGCACGAAAGCGUGGGAGCGAACAGGAUUAGAUACCCUGGUAGUC